rnacentral:lncRNA from 1 species
AGAAAUUGAAAGAGGAGGAGAGGAGGAGAGACCCACAGUUGAUCUCUGAGAAGUGAGUAGCUGGAGGCACCAGGAUACCAGCCAAGCCUAAAGGAUAAAGCAAAUCCCUGGACAUGGCUUUUGAUUCCAAGCUAAGAAGUGCAAGUAUUAACAGCAUCAGUCACAGUAGCUGAGUAUCUCCUGUGAGCUUCCAUAGGAAUUGAGCUUGUCUUUACAAGAAGCUCUUCCAAAUACAACUGCAACUGCCAAGAGAUUGAUGGACCAGAGAAUGGCCUCUUCAUUCCAGGCACUUCUAAAGUCCAAGUGGUCAAAUACCAGCCUCUUUUUACCAAUGUUCCCACCUGUUUCAUUCAGCCAAAUUUCAUUAGAUGAAGGUUUGAAUGGUGAAGAAAUGAUGGACGCUGUUUGUCUCAAACAAGGACUCUAAUGAUACAACAGAACAAGUCACAAGAAAGCUUGCCUGGAAAACCAUACACUGGCCUCUUCGUGGUGAAGUCCUUCACAAUCCUUACAAACAUAGAAAAUAUUCAGCAAUUCGUUUGUUUGUUUUCCAGUCCACUCUUACUUGAGAAAAAUGCAAAACAUCAAAGACACAGAAAAACCACCAGUCUAUACAGCUUGCCCAUACUAAAUUGUUAUUCAUUUCAGAAGAGUGUACAGUUUCUUUCUGUAAGACUCUAUUAAACCAGUUACUCUACAAUAGCAAACAUUUUAGGCAAACCUAACCAUUGCUUCCCAUAAAGAUAUUUAUAUCUUUAAGUGGUAUCUGAUUCAUCCCUAAGAAAUAUGUUAUCAAGAUGUUUGUUUGUUUGUUUGUUUGUUCAUUUGUUUUUGAGAUGGAGUUUCACUCUUGUUGCCCAGGCUGGAGUGCAGUGGCAUGAUCUCGGUUCACUGCAACCUCUGCCUCCCGGUUCAAGCGAUUCUCCUGCCUCAGCCUCCCGAGUAGCUGGGAUUACUGGCACCCACCACCACUCCCAGCUAAUUUUUUGUAUUUUUAAUAGAGACGGGGUUUCACCAUGUUGGCCAGGCUGGUCUCAAACUCCUGACCUCAGGUGAUCCACUUGCCUCGACCUCCCAAAGUGCUGGGAUAACAGGCAUGAGCCAUUGCACCCGGCCGAAGAUUUUUGUUUUGACUGUUUUUUUCUGAACUACAGGGAAACGAAGGCUUUUAUGUUAUUGUCCCCCUUUUCUCACUAACUGGACUUCCUGUGACACGUGAAGACGCUAUGCAUGUUUAAUAAAUACACUUUGAAUUUAAUGCUCAAGGAAGAUAA